rnacentral:rRNA from 1 species
CUCGUCGUGCCUCAGGGCUCCCUCGAUAGCCUUAACAAAAUCGAGAGGGCUUUCCUUUGGUCCGGUGCGGACAAGACAACGGGAGCCAAAUGCAAGGUCAACUGGAAGGUGGUUUGUAGACCAAAAGAAUACGGUGGCCUGGGGGUGCUCAACACCGACAAAUUCGCACGUGCUUUGCGGCUUCGAUGGUUGUGGUAUGAAUGGAACGAGCCCCGCAAAUUAUGGGUUGGCCUGGGAAACCCCUGCACGGUCGAGGACUUCGAGUUUUUCUAUGCUUCUACGACUAUCACGGUGGGAGAUGGUGCCAAAACGCCUUUUUGAGACUCCCCGUGGCUCCUUGGUCGCAAACAUAAGGAUAUUGCACUGCUCAUCUUUGAGGCCUCGAAAAGAAAGAGUUGGAAGGUUCGUGAGGCCCUCAAGGGGAACGCUUGGAUACUCAAGAUCAACCAAGUCACGGUUGUAACCGCAGCCCACAUUCAGAAAUUUUUCACUCUUUGGAUGCUCCUGAAUGAUGUCCACCUUCAUGAGCAAACCGAAGAUACCAUCAUCUGGAAGCACGCGAAUGACAGGAUAUACACGGUGGCCACUGCGUAUAAGGCUCAAUUCCUAGGCUUGACUCUUUCCCCCUUGGACCGUAUGGUUUGGAAGGCAUGGACAUCUACAAAGGUUAAAUUCUUUGCGUGGUUGGCAAUACAAGAUAGGAUUUGGACUGCCGAUCGUUUACAAUGA